rnacentral:rRNA from 1 species
GACGAACGCUGGCGGCGUGCUUAACACAUGCAAGUCGAACGGAAAGGCCCUGCUUUUGUGGGGUGCUCGAGCGGCGAACGGGUGAGUAACACGUGAGUAACCUGCCCUUGACUUUGGGAUAACUUCAGGAAACUGGGGCUAAUACCGGAUAGGAGCUCCUGCUGCAUGGUGGGGGUUGGAAAGUUUCGGCGGUUGGGGAUGGACUCGCGGCUUAUCAGCUAGUUGGUGGGGUAGUGGCUUACCAAGGCUUUGACGGGUAGCCGGCCUGAGAGGGUGACCGGCCACAUUGGGACUGAGAUACGGCCCAGACUCCUACGGGAGGCAGCAGUGGGGAAUAUUGCACAAUGGGCGGAAGCCUGAUGCAGCAACGCCGCGUGCGGGAUGACGGCCUUCGGGUUGUAAACCGCUUUCGCCUGUGACGAAGCGUGAGUGACGGUAAUGGGUAAAGAAGCACCGGCUAACUACGUG